rnacentral:rRNA from 1 species
AGCAGCCGCGGUAAUUCCAGCUCCAAUAGCGUAUAUUAAAGUUGUUGCAGUUAAAAAGCUCGUAGUUGAAUUUCGGGGUUAGUAGGCUGGUCGUGCCACAGGUAUGCACUGGUCUUACUGAUUCCUCCUUCCUGAUGAACCGUAAUGCCAUUAAUUUGGUGUUGCGGGGAGUCUGGACUGUUACUUUGAAAAAAUUAGAGUGUUUAAAGCAGGCUAACGCUUAAAUACAUUAGCAUGGAAUAACGAAAUAGGACGUUCGAUCCUAUUUUGUUGGUUUCUAGGAUUGACGUAAUGAUUAAUAGGGAUAGUUGGGGGCAUUAGUAUUCAAUUGUCAGAGGUGAAAUUCUUGGAUUUAUUGAAGACUAACUACUGCGAAAGCAUUUGCCAAGGAUGUUUUCAUUAAUCAAGAACGAAAGUUAGGGGAUCGAAGACGAUCAGAUACCGUCGUAGUCUUAACCAUAAACUAUGCCGACUAGGGAUCGGAUGAUGUUAAUUUUUUAAUGACUCAUUCGGCGCCUUACG